rnacentral:rRNA from 1 species
AUGUACAUGCACGCCAUGGAGUUGGUGCGGAUGGGUGAUGCAAGUGUAAAAGCAUAUGAGAAAUUCAUGUGCCUCAUUAAGAAUUGCAUGGUGGAGAUGCAGCCCUUUGCAGAGAUUAGAGAUGGGUUAGAAUUGGAGGACAUGAUUGUUGAGCAUGGAGAUGUAGUCAACCAACAAGCACCACAAGUGGCAAUGGUUGCUGCAAGUGGUGGGGCAGGCAUGGGCACUGUCAACGAUGAUGCUACUUCUGCAAAUGAGAGUGGGAACAGACUGAGCGGUCAGUUGGCACCAAAGAAGCGCAAAGAAAUGGGGCGGCCAUCAACUAGCAGGGAGAAGGCAUCAUACGAGGGGUUGAGCAAACGACCCCGGUUUUGCACCAUAUGUCGCGGGCAAGGGGACAAGAGAACGACCUGCCCUGACCGAGGUGAUGCCCCGGAACCUGUUCGCAAACCGUCUAGGUGCAAAUACUGUGGAAUUGAAGGUCACAGGCGAAACAACUGCCACAAAGUAGGUGAUCUCAGGUUGGCUGGCAUGUGA